GGGUUGUGAGGUUAAGCGAAUAAGCGUACACGGUGGAUGCCUAGGCAAUCAGAGGCGAUGAAGGACGCGCUAAUCUGCGAAAAGCGUCGGUAAGGUGAUAUGAACCGUUAUACCCGACGAUAUCCGAAUGGGGAAACCCAGUAUCCAAUGGAUACUAUCAUUAACUGAAUCCAUAGGUUAAUGAGGCGAACCGGGAGAACUGAAACAUCUCAGUACCCCGAGGAAAAGAAAUCAACCGAGAUUCCCCUAGUAGCGGCGAGCGAACGGGGAGCAGCCCAGAGUCUUAAUCAAUAACAGUGUCAGGAGAACGGUCUGGAAAGUCCGGCAGUAAAGGGUGAUAGCCCCGUAUCUGAAGAUGCUGUUAUUGUGAACUCGACGAGUAGGGCGGGACACGUGUUAUCCUGUCUGAAUAUGGGGGGACCAUCCUCCAAGGCUAAAUACUCCUGAUUGACCGAUAGUGAACCAGUACCGUGAGGGAAAGGCGAAAAGAACCCCGGCGAGGGGAGUGAAAAAGAACCUGAAACCGUGUACGUACAAGCAGUAGGAGCCUCUUUAUGGGGUGACUGCGUACCUUUUGUAUAAUGGGUCAGCGACUUAUAUUCUGUAGCAAGGUUAACCGUAUAGGGGAGCCGUAGGGAAACCGAGUCUUAACUGGGCGAAUGAGUUGCAGGGUAUAGACCCGAAACCCGGUGAUCUAUCCAUGGGCAGGUUGAAGGUUGGGUAACACUAACUGGAGGACCGAACCGACUAAUGUUGAAAAAUUAGCGGAUGACUUGUGGAUGGGGGUGAAAGGCCAAUCAAACCGGGAGAUAGCUGGUUCUCCCCGAAAGCUAUUUAGGUAGCGCCUCGUGAAUUCAUCUUCGGGGGUAGAGCACUGUUUCGACUAGGGGGUCAUCCCGACUUACCAACUCGAUGCAAACUGCGAAUACCGAAGAAUGUUAUCACGGGAGACACACGGCGGGUGCUAACGUCCGUCGUGAAGAGGGAAACAACCCAGACCGCCAGCUAAGGUCCCAAAGUCAUGGUUAAGUGGGAAACGAAGUGGGAAGGCUCAGACAGCCAGGAUGUUGGCUUAGAAGCAGCCAUCAUUUAAAGAAAGCGUAAUAGCUCACUGGUCGAGUCGGCCCGCGCGGAAGAUGUAACGGGGCUAAACCAUGCACCGAAGCUGCGGCAGCGACACAAAGUGUUGUUGGGUAGGGGAGCGUUCUGUAAGCCUGCGAAGGUGUACUGUGAGGUAUGCUGGAGGUAUCAGAAGUGCGAAUGCUGACAUAAGUAACGAUAAUGCGGGUGAAAAACCCGCACGCCGGAAGACCAAGGGUUCCUGUCCAACGUUAAUCGGGGCAGGGUGAGUCGACCCCUAAGGCGAGGCUGAAAAGCGUAGUCGAUGGGAAACGGGUUAAUAUUCCCGUACUGGUGGUAACUGCGAUGGGGGAACGGAGAAGGCUAGGUUGUCCGGGCGACGGUCGUCCCGGUUCAAGCAGGUAGGCAGAGUGAUUAGGCAAAUCCGGUCACUUAAUGCUGAGAUGUGAUGACGAACCACUAAGGUGGUGAAGCAAUUGAUGCCCCGCUUCCAGGAAAAGCCUCUAAGCUUCAGGUUACCAACAAUCGUACCCCAAACCGACACAGGUGGUCAGGUAGAGAAUACUCAGGCGCUUGAGAGAACUCGGGUGAAGGAACUAGGCAAAAUGGUGCCGUAACUUCGGGAGAAGGCACGCUGGCGGUAGGUAAAGUCCCUUGCGGACGGCGCUGAAGCCAGUCGAAGAUACCAGCUGGCUGCAACUGUUUAUUAAAAACACAGCACUGUGCAAACACGAAAGUGGACGUAUACGGUGUGACGCCUGCCCGGUGCUGGAAGGUUAAUUGAUGGGGUCAGCCGUAAGGCGAAGCUCCUGAUCGAAGCCCCAGUAAACGGCGGCCGUAACUAUAACGGUCCUAAGGUAGCGAAAUUCCUUGUCGGGUAAGUUCCGACCUGCACGAAUGGCGUAAUGAUGGCCAGGCUGUCUCCACCCGAGACUCAGUGAAAUUGAACUCGCUGUGAAGAUGCAGUGUACCCGCGGCAAGACGGAAAGACCCCGUGAACCUUUACUAUAGCUUGACACUGAACAUUGAGCCUUGAUGUGUAGGAUAGGUGGGAGGCUUUGAAGUGUGGACGCCAGUCUGCAUGGAGCCAACCUUGAAAUACCACCCUUUAACGUUUGAUGUUCUAACCUAGGCCCAUAAACUGGGUCGGGGACCGUGUCUGGUGGGUAGUUUGACUGGGGCGGUCUCCUCCUAAAGAGUAACGGAGGAGCACGAAGGUUGGCUAAGCAUGGUCGGACAUCAUGCGGUUAGUGCAAAGGCAUAAGCCAGCUUGACUGCGAGAGUGACGGCUCGAGCAGGUACGAAAGUAGGUCUUAGUGAUCCGGUGGUUCUGAAUGGAAGGGCCAUCGCUCAACGGAUAAAAGGUACUCCGGGGAUAACAGGCUGAUACCGCCCAAGAGUUCAUAUCGACGGCGGUGUUUGGCACCUCGAUGUCGGCUCAUCACAUCCUGGGGCUGAAGUAGGUCCCAAGGGUAUGGCUGUUCGCCAUUUAAAGUGGUACGCGAGCUGGGUUUAGAACGUCGUGAGACAGUUCGGUCCCUAUCUGCCGUGGGCGUUGGAAGAUUGAGAGGGGUUGCUCCUAGUACGAGAGGACCGGAGUGAACGCACCACUGGUGUUCGGGUUGUCAUGCCAAUGGCAUUGCCCGGUAGCUAAGUGCGGAAGAGAUAACCGCUGAAAGCAUCUAAGCGGGAAACUUGCCUCGAGAUGAGUCUUCCCUGUCGCUUUAAGCGACCUAAAGGAACGUUUAAGACUAAGACGUUGAUAGGCUGGGUGUGUAAGCGUAGCGAUACGUUGAGCUAACCAGUACUAAUGAACCGUGAGGCUUAACCUGACAACACCGAAAGUGUUUUG
rnacentral:rRNA from 1 species